rnacentral:rRNA from 1 species
UACGUAGGCAGCGAGCGUUGUUCGGAAUUACUGGGCGUAAAGAGUGUGUAGGCGGUGCUCUAAGUUCGGUGGGAAAUCUCCCGGCUUAACUGGGAGGGUGCGCCGGAAACUGGAGUGCUCGAGCGUGGGAGAGGAAAGCGGAAUUCCUGGUGUAGCGGUGAAAUGCGUAGAUAUCAGGAGGAACACCUGCGGUGUAGACGGCUUUCUGGACCAUUGCUGACGCUGAGACACGAAAGCGUGGGUAGCAAACAGG